CCGGCGACCGGCGCACGGGUGAGUAACACGUAUGCAAUCCACCUGUAACAGGGGGGAUAACCCGGAGAAAUCCGGACUAAUACCCCAUAAUAUGGGCUCUCCGCAUGGAGGGUCCAUUAAAGAGAGCAAUUUUGGUUACAGACGAGCAUGCGCUCCAUUAGCCAGUUGGCGGGGUAACGGCCCACCAAAGCGACGAUGGAUAGGGGUUCCGAGAGGAAGGUCCCCCACAUUGGAACUGAGACACGGUCCAA
rnacentral:rRNA from 1 species